rnacentral:tRNA from 1 species
GCAUCCGUAGCUCAGCUGGAUAGAGUACUCGGCUACGAACCGAGCGGUCGGAGGUUCGAAUGAGGUUCGAAUCCUCCCGGAUGCACCA